AGUGUGGCUGGGCUGGUCUUGUCUGGCCUGGCUGUUGCAGGGUCCAGGGAGGCACAACUUGUCAAGUCGUGGCGGUUUUAGACUUUUAGUCAGCUGGUUGUCUGGCUGGAGGUUGCGGCUGUGGGAGCGUGGCUGGCGCAUUGUGUGUGUGGCGUCCCGUGUGCUGCACGGAGGGUGUUUGGUGUCUCGCCAUUCCGCAUCAGCGACGACUCCUGCCUGCCUGCCGACUGAGGUUGGAGGCGGAAGCGUGGCCUUCAAGCCGGUGCAGAUCGCCUUAUGCGUAGCAUUCAAUUCCUACGUUAAAGCUGUGUCGUUGUGGUGCACCACAAGCUUCUACGUCCCGCCAGUGGCUCACCUGCUGAAGUGGGCCUCUAAAUAUACGGGACCCUCCCACUGCUGUUGUCUUUUUUUGUUUUUUUCCUGUAUUGUGAAUUCUUUUCCUUUUUUGUGUGUGCGUGGGCCUCCUGGCCGAUAUUGCGUUGCUAAUGGUUGCUUUUCUUUUUGUUUUGAUUAACAGGGGCUGUUUGUGCCACUGGUAGGAGUGACUGGCUGAUCCUGGUGGCGGUGGUUCCCUUCAUUUUUCUGUAGUGCACCUUUGUGUCAAUAGUAGUGAUUUUUUUUGUUUUCACGUGCGGUGGAACAUUGGGCUCCCCUUGUACAUCGCAUUCCAUGGUAACCUGAAUGACUCAAACGCUCAUUUUUUGGUUAAUAUAGACUGUAGACUUUAUUGAACAUUUGUUGUUGUAUUUUAAGAACCAUUCUGUGUCGUGCCUGUGUCGUCCGAACCUGUGUCUUGUGGUUGACUAUGUUGCCGGACCCUAGUAGGGAAGAUAACGACAAACGCGAGGGAAAAUGAGGAACGUAGCAGCCAAUAAUAAAUAAUUUAUUGUUCUUAAACAUGGUGGCAGCCAAACCAGCCACAUGCUUCUCUCCCGAUCUUUCUACCUCCUUCUUUUUCCGUAGCUGACAGCCUCUAGAAUUCCCAUCCGUCAGUCUGAUCCUUAGCGGCAGCCUCUUCUCUGUUCCGCCCUCCUCUUUCGGCCUCUAAUUGGAGUGUGGACCGGGCGAUUAGUGUGGUAGCGCUCCCAUUUGAUAAAGGUCAAAUCUCUGUUCCAAGACCGGCAGCCAGGAAAAGGGGGGCGAGGCGGAAGUGGGCUUUGGUGUGUAUGUGUGUCAUUCUUCCCGAAAUAAGCUUUACUUCUUUCUGAUGGCUGCUAAAUGCUUCGCAGUGUAUUGUGGGAGUUGAAUUUCUCCUACAGCAGAGUUUGAACAUAAACGCGCGCGCGCACACUCACUCACUCACUCACACUCUCUCCCGGUAUGUACAGGGUUGUUGUGCUGUGAUUAUAAAGGUGCUGUGCAGGUGCGUGGCUGCCGUCAGAUUGGGUAAUUUGCUCACCAGGAUGAUUUAGUAUCGGCUGUGCUCCUGCUCAUUAUGGCCGCAGAAACGAAGAGAGAAAACAGAGGGGAGACAAUUUAUAAGGAUUAAAGGGGGGUGCAAUUGAAUUUAAUGCAAAUUAGAUUUGAAUUUUAACAAUGUUACGAGGAAGUAACAGCGCAACUGCAUACAUUAGAAAAGGUUUGGUUGAAAAUCAACCUAGGAAUAUUGUUCCCAUUUACUGCACUGAGUUUAUAUAGUUUAUAGUCGUGAACCCUUAAAAUAGUAGACAUAGCUUGGAAAAAGGAAAUCCGCUGUUGCUCAUUGAACCUCUGCUUCACAGGCUUGAUAGAUGGCUCGUGACUGACCUGUAUUCAGUUUACACCGUAGACCCUGACUCUUUGUGACAGCUGCCCGACCUUGAGCAGCACUGUUUGUUGUGUACAAACAACGAUGACUGAGCAGCCACACAGAGUUAUAGCUCAGUUAACUGGUGUUAUUGACAUGGCCUCAUCGCUACCUCAACUGACCUUACCAGUCCACACAGUGUGCACACUGGU